rnacentral:rRNA from 1 species
UACGGGGGGAGCAAGCGUUGUCCGGAUUUAUUGGGCGUAAAGAGCGUGUAGGCGGCCAGGUAGGUCCGUUGUGAAAACUCGAGGCUCAACCUCGAGACGUCGAUGGAAACCAUCUGGCUAGAGUCCGGAAGAGGAGAGUGGAAUUCCUGGUGUAGCGGUGAAAUGCGCAGAUAUCAGGAAGAACACCUAUGGCGAAGGCAGCUCUCUGGGACGGUACUGACGCUGAGACGCGAAAGCGUGGGGAGCGAACAGG